rnacentral:rRNA from 1 species
AUACGGAGGACGCGAGCGUUAUCCGGAUUCAUUGGGUUUAAAGGGUGCGCAGGCGGCCGUGCAAGUCAGCGGUGAAAGCCCGGGGCUCAACCCCGGAAGUGCCGUUGAUACUGCAUGGCUGGAAUGCGGUCGAGGCGGGCGGAACGUGGCGGGUAGCGGUGAAAUGCGUAGUUAUGCCACCGAACGCCGAUAGCGGAGGCGGCUCGCCGGGCCUGCAUUGACGCACGGGCACGAAAGCGGGGGGAUCGAACAGGAUUAGAUACCCUGGUAGUCCACGCCGUAAACGAUGGGCGCUCGUCGUCGGCGACAGACAGUCGGCGGCCAAGCGAAAGCGAUAAGCGCCCCACCUGGGGAGUACGGUCGCAAGGCUGAAACUCAAAUGAAUUGGCGGGG